rnacentral:tRNA from 1 species
GGAAGCGUGGCCGAGCGGUUUAAGGCACUGGUCUUGAAAACCAGCGAUGGGCAACUAUCCGUGAGUUCGAAUCUCACCGCUUCCGCCA